rnacentral:rRNA from 1 species
AGUCGAGCGGGGAAGAGUAGCUUGCUACUUGACCUAGCGGCGGACGGGUGAGUAAUGCUUAGGAAUCUGCCUAUUAGUGGGGGACAACAUCUCGAAAGGGAUGCUAAUACCGCAUACGUCCUACGGGAGAAAGCAGGGGACCUUCGGGCCUUGCGCUAAUAGAUGAGCCUAAGUCGGAUUAGCUAGUUGGUGGGGUAAAGGCCUACCAAGGCGACGAUCUGUAGCGGGUCUGAGAGGAUGAUCCGCCACACUGGGACUGAGACACGGCCCAGACUCCUACGGGAGGCAGCAGUGGGGAAUAUUGGACAAUGGGGGGAACCCUGAUCCAGCCAUGCCGCGUGUGUGAAGAAGGCCUUUUGGUUGUAAAGCACUUUAAGCGAGGAGGAGGCUACCGAGAUUAAUACUCUUGGAUAGUGGACGUUACUCGCAGAAUAAGCACCGGCUAACUCUGUGCCAGCAGCCGCGGUAAUACAGAGGGUGCAAGCGUUAAUCGGAUUUACUGGGCGUAAAGCGCGCGUAGGUGGCCAAUUAAGUCAAAUGUGAAAUCCCCGAGCUUAACUUGGGAAUUGCAUUCGAUACUGGUUGGCUAGAGUAUGGGAGAGGAUGGUAGAAUUCCAGGUGUAGCGGUGAAAUGCGUAGAGAUCUGGAGGAAUACCGAUGGCGAAGGCAGCCAUCUGGCCUAAUACUGACACUGAGGUGCGAAAGCAUGGGGAGCAAACAGGAUUAGAUACCCUGGUAGUCCAUGCCGUAAACGAUGUCUACUAGCCGUUGGGGCCUUUGAGGCUUUAGUGGCGCAGCUAACGCGAUAAGUAGACCGCCUGGGGAGUACGGUCGCAGACUAAAACUCAAAUGAAUUGACGGGGGCCCGCACAAGCGGUAGAGCAUGUGGUUUAAUUCGA